GCCUACGGCCAUACCACCCUGAGAACGCCCGAUCUCGUCUGAUCUCGGCAGCUAAGCAGGGUCGGGCCCGGUUAGUACUUGGAUGGGAGACCGCCUGGGAAUACCGGGUGCUGUAGGCUUAA
rnacentral:rRNA from 1 species